CUGUAUGAAUGGCAUAACGAGGGUUUAACUGUCUCCCUCCCCCAGUCAAUGAAAUUGAUCUGCCCGUGCAGAAGCGGACAUAAACACAUAAGACGAGAAGACCCUAUGGAGCUUUAGACAAAAGAUCAAACAUGUAAAGAAACCAAACCAACCAAAAGGAACACAAAGGCCACAAAACCCAACGUAAAAUGAUCAAAAUGUCUUCGGUUGGGGCGACCAUGGGGGAAAGAAAAGCCCCCACGAGGAACUAAGGGCAAUCCAUUAAGCCAAGAGAUACACCUCUAAGCAACAGAAAAUCUGACCAAAAAUGACCCAGGACACUAAUCCUGAUCAACGAACCAAGUUACCCUAGGGAUAACAGCGCAAUCCUUUCCCAGAGUCCAUAUCGACGAAAGGGUUUACGACCUCGAUGUUGGAUCAGGACAUCCUAAUGGUGCAGCCGCUAUUAAGGGUUCGUUUGUUCAACGAUUAACAGUCCUACGUGAUCUA
rnacentral:rRNA from 1 species